rnacentral:tRNA from 1 species
GGGGGUAUAGCUCAGUGGUAAAGCAUUCGGCUGUAGAUCGAGAGGUCGUCGGUUCAAGCCCGGGUGUCCUCU